rnacentral:antisense_RNA from 1 species
GGGAGCUUGGAUGUGGAAGCUCUUUGGAAACCAAGAAACACUCUGCAAAUGAAAAGGGAAGCAGAAGUUCUCCUUAGCUGAUUUUUCUUCUUGCCUUAUACUGGGUUCUUUAACACCAGAACAAAAAUAAAUAAAUAAAAGAAUCUUCCAGAAAUUCAUGAAGAGACUUCAGGUCAGGAAAGCCUGAACUUUCUCAUCUAACACCUGUUCAAGUCGGAGGAUGCUGAUUAAUUCAUGAUGGAAAGGUAUCAAUUUCACAGCCCAGACUUCUACAUUCUUGAAAUGCUGUUCUCAUGGGAGACAUUAAAUAAGCUUUGAAAUAACUGAAGAACCAAUGAUGUGAUCCCUGGAUACUGGCAAUUGUUGCCCAAGAAACCCUCUCCCCUUGCUAUGGGACUGCUGGGCACCCAAAUAAUGCACCCAAAUAAUUUGAUAGCUCUUGUUACACAGCUCUUUUUGGACUAAAAGGCCCUCAGCAUUCCUGGCAAUUUCUACACUCCUGAAGCUUCAUCUGGAGACGUCUGUGGAUUCUAUAACUCAAAGACCCAGGCUGAUGGCUGGUGGAAUAGCUACCAUCUCAAAC